UACGUAGGGACCAAGCGUUGUUCGGCUUUACUGGGCGUAAAGGGCGCGUAGGCGGCGCGGUAAGUCACUUGUGAAAUCUCUGAGCUUAACUCAGAACGGCCAAGUGAUACUGCAGUGCUAGAGUGUGGAAGGGGCAAUCGGAAUUCUUGGUGUAGCGGUGAAAUGCGUAGAUAUCAAGAGGAACACCUGAGGUGAAGACGGGUUGCUGGGCCAACACUGACGCUGAUGCGCGAAAGCCAGGGGAGCAAACGGG
rnacentral:rRNA from 1 species